GUCCUGAGCCUGUGUAGCCUCUUCGUUUUUGCCGCGAAUCGGGCCGAAGUUAAAAAUGAAAAAUUAAAAGCGUGUCUGGCGGCUCGGUAGUAAGUAAUAUAACCGGAAUGAUGAGUCACUGGCACUAAAUAUGAGGGCUACGUUCAUUUUUUCUUUUUCGUCAAGUCAUGUUUCGUCCAGCGACACAAUACAGAGAGUUCGUUUACAUUGGUGGGAUCGUGAACACGUUUCUAUCGACUGGCCAAAAACGGACGAAUAUUCUGAUGGUAAAUGGUGGAUCGUCGGAAACGAUACACUCUCAAAUUCGCAAGACCUUCUGAUGCAACAACUGCAACUUAUUCCUCUUUCUUAACGAUCUUUAUGCGAGUUCUCAACACUUGUUCGCUUAAGCUCUACAUUGAAUGGGUCAGCUUUAACCUAAUCAAUUUUUGCACAGUUCUACUUUGUAUAAUAGUACAAAUUUACCGCAACCAAUAAUCGAGUUUAAUUAAGAUGCGAUAGAUGGAGGGAGAACAGGUCCAAAUAUUUGUACGCAUAAUUAAACAUUCUUGGCUUAUAUCCAA